UGAACUCACUCCAGAAAAGGGCUGUGUGAAGAAAUCGAGGAGUUUAUUCAAGUUUUUAUAAUGUUUAUUUCAUGUUGUUCAUUUUAGUUGACGCUUUUGACACAUCGUUUGUCAUCAAUAGUAAUUAAUGCGACCGGUUUGUGUGUGUUUUUUGGGAACGCACGUCGUGCUUGAAGCUAAUCGUAGCUCCAUAAUUAGCCGGUGAUAUCUACAAGUGUUUCUCAGGAAAGAUGAAAAUGCCGGAGGAGCGAAGGAGCGACUGGGUUCUGGCGGGUGCAACGGCUGCCUGCGUCGCCGCUCUGUAUGUCCCGUGUGUGCAGAGAAGCGUUCCCGGGGGAGACUCAGGAGAGCUGAUCACCGCUGCCUGUGAGCUGGGGGUGGCCCAUCCUCCAGGUUACCCUCUCUUCACGCUGCUGGCUCGCCUGGCCAUGGUCCUCUGGCCCACCCUCUCACCGGCCCACAGUGUCAACCUGAUGAGUGCCUUGCUGGGUGCGGCAGCCUGCGGGCUCAUCUCCCUCACCGUCUGCAGGUUAUCAGGCCCUGGUCCUGGAGCUGUCUUGGCCGGAGGACUGUUUGCCGUGUCCAGGCUCAGCUGGCAGUGGUCAGUGGUGGCUGAGGUCUUCUCCCUCAACAACCUGUUUGUUGCUCUGCUUCUGCACUUAACCUCAGUGUUCCACUGUGCUGAGAACGCUGCGCAGAGAAGGAAGAUGUCAUUGUGGGGGGCGCUGUUCUGUGGCCUUGGACUCAGUAACCAGCACACACUGGUGCUGUAUGAGCUGGUCAUCAUUCCCUGGGUUCUCUACAGACUCUACUGUCACAGGGAGCUGAAUUUCCGAGCCGUCUUCUCGCUCGGGGUCUGUUUCCUGUUGGGCUUCGUGCCGUACAUCUACCUGCCCAUCUCCUCGUAUUGGAACGCGGCCCGCUGGAGUUGGGGCGACCAGACCUCGCUGUCGGGUCUGCUGACACACCUGCUGAGGUCUGAAUAUGGCACCUUCAGCCUGGCCAAGUCGGAGACCGCCGUGAACGUGACCACCAUGCUGAAGGCCCAGUUGGACCACUGCCUGGCGGACCUUUCCCUUCCCGCUCUGGCGCUGGCAGCAUCGGGCCUCCUCCUGUCCUCCUGGGACAGGAAGUGUUGUGCUGUAUCCAGACUGUUCACCCUCAUGCUGUUGCUCUACUCUGUGUUCUUCUCCUGGAGAGCAAACCUGGAUGUCAGUCGACCUCUGCUUCUUGGCGUGGUGGAGCGUUUCUGGCUGCAGAGCGACGCUGUGCUGUGUUUGCUGGUGGGCCUCGGCCUGAGCCUCUCGGUCACUGUGCUGGAGCGCAGGUUCAGGGGCGGGCGGCUGUGGAAGGCGGUCGGCUGGAUCCUGACGGCGGCUCUGCUGGGACGGACGGUCCUCAACAACCACAGGGAGUGUGAUCAGAGCACCAAUGCUGUGGUGGAGAAAUUCGGCAGGGAGGUGUUGGGUUCAAUCCCGCCAGACUCCAUUGUUCUGACCAGAGGGGAUCUGCCCGGAAACUCGCUGCGCUACCUCCACUACUGUCUGGACCUGCGGCCUGACGUGCGGCUGGUCGACCAGGAGAUGAUGACGUACUCCUGGUACAUAUCUAAGCUGGGACAUCACCACCGCGGGGUUCGCUUCCCUGGACGCGUGUGGGACCCGGCCGACUCCGGGGAGAGAGGCGGCUUCAGCCUGCAGCAGUUUCUUUCUCACAACUCCGAGAGAAACGUUUUGGCGUGUAUCGGUCUUCCUGACGGCGACUCCAGCUGGCAGCGCACCUUCUCACGCUGGCCACUCGGUGUUUGUGACUUCCUGGUGCCACUUCAGAAGCAGUUUGAUCCCAAUAAGUGGGCCAUCCGCACCCGUAACCUGUACAACUGGAGCGAGCCACACAACAGUUUCCCUCCUGUGUCGUGGGAGCGUGUGGCCAACGAGGAGAUGUGGCAAGCCAGGAUGAAGACGGCUUUCUUUCUGUUUGACCUGGCGGAAAUGAUCCAGGGAGACGGACGCUCUGGCCUCUACGAGCUGUCUUACACGCUCUACAAGGAAAUCGUAGACGUAGAAUCCGACUACCCUCCAAACUGGGACAAGAACCUGGCUCUGGCUUGUGAGAGGCUUCUCCGCUCUGGUCCCCGGAGCCACAGUCCAGACUCCUUGCUGACCUGUGCUGCCGAACACUUCAGCCUCUAUUUGAAGAAGGAGCCGAAGGAUCCUCAAGCGCCGGCCAUAGAAUCAGCUAUUAGCCACCUGCUCAAAGAGAGAGACAGAAACCGUCAGAGGAACACUACGUGAGGAGGUCUGGAGAUAUGGAGGCUUCUUCAAAAGCAGAAGUCAGUGAUGAACUUCAUGAUGGGAACGUAGUUUACAGUGUAUACUUUCUCAUCUUUUGUACUGGGAUGAAUGGUACCAGAUCAGAGUGAAUGGCUGUCCCUACACCAACCAGUAAUGCCUCACAACUUUUGUAUCCAAGUUGACUGUUAUUUGAUUUUUGGUCCUGGGUGAAGGGUGAAGUUGGGGUGGUUUGCAAUGCCUUGCUCCUUUGAAUCAUUUUAGAAUCGCAGCGUGGGAAUCAGGCUCUUAUUUUCACUGCUAAAUUGAGCUCUCCUGCAACAUGACGUGGCUGAACGACUGGGUCUGGACUCAGCCAGUGACCACAGGUGAGUGUGGAGUUCCUCCGCUAUAUGAAGUGCUUUUGCCCUUUGGCUCAGCUCUUUCUUCACCAUGACCAAUGACUCCCCGCCUUCCAUCUCCAUCUUUUCUUCAUAAUGAAACAAUGAAGGUCAAAAAGCGAAGACAAAGACCGUAGACAGAAGUAGUAGCCGAGGAGCGGACUCGGCGGUCGUGCAGUUCUGGAGUUGAGCGAUCUUUGACUGACCCCAAUCAAACAUGUGCGUGCGCCCUUUGACCCCCGCCUGUUUGAUUGCUUCAUCAUCGCUUUUGGGACUUCUCUCUCUUUAGCGCGCUGAUUAUUUCCGUCCUCCUCACAUCAGGAGGAACGAGGCUGAGAUUGAGGGGGAAACCCAAUUUAGGGGCAGAAAUGGGGGAUUAGAGCUGCGGUUUAAUCUGGGACAGACUUGUGCCACGCGGUCCUGUGCUCACAGUGCCAACAGUCCCCGUCACCCCCCCCCCAGUGUAUCCCUCCAUCAGUCUGUCUUAGAUAGUCCCUUAAAUGUUUAAAACUAAUGGAUUCUCUGAGGGUUUUUUUCGCCCUCGGGAGGGCUGCGCUGUAAUCCCUGUGGAUUUAAAUGAAAUGUCACAAUGCCAGAGACCCUUUUAGAGGUGUGUGAACACACACACACACACACACACACACACACACACACACACACACACACACACACACACACACACACACACACACUCUCACUCACUCACUCAUGUACACAAACAUAUAAGCACAUGCAUGAUUUUGUGCCUGGAGUUUGCAUGUUUGAGCCUUUAAUAGACGGCAACUCUUUCAUUCGUCAAAUGUCUGGUUUGCGGACUCAUUGGUGUGUAGCAUUUGUGCGAACAUGCUAACAUCCUUCAAGUCAAGUCACACUAGAACUAGCCGGACACUUGAGUUACCUCUCAGAGGUCAGCAGCCGUCACCACGAACCGCCGGAUUCCGAAGUGGAUAGCGUUUUCUUAGAAUGUAAUCUGCUCUGUCUGGUCGCCGGCCCGGUUAGCAUCUGUCAGCCGGCUGGAUGAUGAGUCGGCGCAGAUGGUUUGAUUUCUACUAAAGGGUUUUACUGCUGUUAGUUGUGUUCAAUGCUUCAAUAAAAUCACCCUUUCUUCAAACACUAUUUGUCCCCAUAGCAGCAGAUCUGGAUCAAGUGGACAUCCCUCUCCAAACUGAACUUUGUAGUUUAGGUGUUGAGAAUUCCUCUCACUGCAGCGCUGUUUCCGUGGCUGCCCGAGUAAUUACGUUAGUUACGUAAGUUCAGCAGAGAAUAACAGUUACACGUACUUUUCCGCAUGUUCUUCUGCAUGUUCAUGGAAGUCGCUGACGAUGUGAGUUUCCGUUCUCAUAUAUAUAUAUUGUAAAUAGUUAUUGCGGGCGGUCAUUGUUGCUGCGUGUGUGAUAGUGAGUGCGGAGCUGGCGAUGUUUAUUUUUACUUUUACGGUUCGGGUGGUUGGCUGAAGUUACGGAGCAGGGCAGUCUCCAUUGCCGUGUUGCGCUUUGCUGUUUACGUGUGUAUGUGUCCGGGUGAAACAGCUGUGUGGUUGGGAUUGUUUAAGUGUUAAAGAUGAAGAACUUGCGUGUUUGUCUGAUUUGAAUGACGUAGUUUGUGCACUGCACUACCGUUUUAUACAGUUCUAAUCUCUCUGUGAUUAUGUUGUUUAUAGAAACUACCUGUUGAUCAUUGCACCCAUCUGGGAAAUAAAAGUUUGGAACUCAUCUGAAGACUCCAGUUCUCUGACCGGAACGCUGCAGCGGUCAAUACUCUUCUCACCAGCAAUCAAAGGGUUAAAACCCAACAUUAGGCGUCGAUUGUUUUGUCGUCAUCUGUGUAUACACUGUACCCUGUCUCAGGUUUACCUGGAUCAGAAACUGGGGAGGAACUUGUGAGCAGGAAGAAGAAUGUACUGAGUAACAGUGAGCAGGGGAAGCCAGCCUGUUCAGUACGAAACAGCUCUUCAGGAUGCAGGAUGACUGGGGAGCUGUCAGGUGUGUUUACACUAGCAAACGUCCCAAUGAUGGAGUCAAGCUCAACCUUGCUCCAUUAGACGAGCGAAAACAUGCUGGUAUUUCUCCUCCAGACUCCUUCAACCUGCAGUUAGAAAUCUUAAUUGAUGCUUGUAAUGUGAAAAUGUCCUCAAGUGCAAUUCUUUGCUUGUGUUAUGCUCCAUUUCUACUUCACUUUCUUCCACCCCCCCACCUGUCUUCCCAUAACCCCUCUGUUCCUCUUCCCCCCCGUCUCUGUCUCUGAGAGUCAGUUGCCCACCCUAAAUCAGCAAGCUGCCGAGGAUUGUGGGAACCCGUGGAAUCGCCGUGACCAGGGAUGCAGGCAGGGAGCCACGACAGCGCUGGAAUGUGGGGCGUCUGAGGAGAUAAGAGCUCCGUGAGCCAGGGAGAGGAGCGGGAGGAGGAGUGAGGGGUGUCCCCCACCUUUUGCCUGAUUGGUUGGGCAGCCCACCUGAAUGUGUGGACUUCCAUGUCCCAACUGUGACUCAUCAGGAAAGGUUCACGAGCCACAGCAAAACUCUCCUCCAGGCUGGAUCCUCAGGGGAAUCCACCACUUAAGGAAAACUGACCAGAAAACCUUCCAGGAUGCACCCGGAACAUUGACCCAAUCACCUGUCCCAGCAACCCUGGAGUGCUGUUGCUAUUACCUUUUAGAAGCCCACAUUCGGGAACCAGAAAUACAGUCCAUGUUGGACCUGCUUGAAUGGCUCGUAAUUCCAAGUCCCACUCUCCACUCUGCUUGAGUUUCUUGACUGGUGUAACACGGAGAUGUUGUGUCGCUGGGAGAGCCUGCGUGGAUGCAGUUGGACUGCUGCGAUUACAGCGGCCUGCGGGCCUGGCAGCCGUUCGGCCGGGCUGGGAUCCCCGCUUCCUCCCCGGGCGAGGAAGAUUCUGCCACCUAGCGGAUGUCGGGAGGCUCCCGGAGAGCUGCCACUGUCUCUGUGCCUGGGUGCACAAACAUGGCAGGAUUAAAGCAAAACGAAUCUAAACAGACAAAUGGAAUUAGAGUGAUGGGUGUCGGUGGGCUGCUGCGCCGUGAUAAACAAUGUGAUGCCCCGUGUGUGUGUUCCUGCGUCUGGGGGAUUAUCUGCAGUGAGGUGUGUGUGUGUGUGUGUGUGUGUGUGUGUUUGCCUGUCCGUCUGUGUUUUUGUAAUUAUAUGUUUGUGUUGACUCGGUGUUCCUCGCUUUUCCUCACUCCAACACUUACAGAGUGUUUUUACUGCAUAGGAGGUGAGGAGUGUGCAGGAGCCAGCGGGGGGCGGUCAUCAACAGUCUGCGGACCCCCUGCUGAGGGGCUCUGAGAUUAGGGAGCAGAUGGGCACAUCAGCAACAUCCCAGAGAACCAGAACUUUCAGGACUGGACUUGUGCUGAAACUAGGUGAUCAUGUCUGCGCAUGAAGGAGAAAACAAAGGUAUUUGUCUGUUCCUUGCUGGUCAGUAGCAGGCCCCCCACUUUGACCAUCUCCAAUGUCUGUGUUUGGAGGAGUCGCUGUCGCCCCUCAGUCCCAGACUUCAUCAGCGGUGAUCCAUCAGCUUCUGUAUCACAAGUGUGCCGGAGUUUCAACUGGACUGAGAUCAGAACGUGGUCGGUGAAACCAGAUUUGUGUCGGUCGAUGGACAGUCGGGUCAGUCAGCUCCAUCAGAGACGAGCCGGCGGCUUGUUUUGAUUUGCUGCUCUGAGCCACAGGCUGUGAGUGUGUGUUUGUUUGUUUGUGUGUGUGUGUGUGUGUAUGUGAGAGAGGGUGUGAAGGGGACCUUUUCAAUUUAAGGAUGAAGACUUCAAAAUAUCUGGUUCAUUAUGAGUUUGGUUCAGAGUCCUAGUUAAGAUGAGCCAUUUGUUUUGGAUGGUUAGGUUUAGGGUGAGAGGCUGAGGAAAGGGUUAUGUCAAUGAGAAACCACAAUGUCCCCACAGGGAUAGCAAUCCAAACAUACAGUACGUGUGUGAGAGAGAGACAGAGAGAGAUUUGGGUCAUAAAUCCAUCUACUUUUCACGUCUUCAGGUUACACGGCUUCAUUAACUCGAAACAGACUCAUAAACCCAGUGGAGAUGAGUCCCCACUUCUCCUCUGUCCUGUGAGGUUGUUGUCUCAGUUAUGUUUCUGGUUUGAGAUUGUUGAGUUAAUUCGUAUCUUAUGUUGCUGUGUUCAGUCCAAGUGACGUUCUGUCCUCAGAUAACCUGAGUACAGCCCCUAGUGUUUUGGUUGGGUCAGGCCUGGGGAGAACAGGGGUCUCAGAGUUGUGGUACGCCUGCUCCUUGACACUGAAGUUUAGUGUUGUUACCUUGGCUUCUAGUCAGCUUCAUUUAACCAAUGGUGUUGGUCAGGUGGGUUGUCACCUUACCUUAUGAGAGAGUUGCGUUCUAGACAGUCUUCAAAUGGACCUCGUGGCGUUUCAGCUGGGUGUAUCUGGAGCGCGCUAAGCUUUUCUUGACGUGAUGCGGCUCAGACUCCUAAGUUUAGUGGGUCCACUGAGGGACAGUGCUGCUGUCUCCACCCUGUUUUAUGGAGGAAUAAACCUGGAAAAAAAGCAGAACCAGUUCCAUGAUCAGUGAGAAGGAGAAGAACGGGCACCAUUCUUCCUUAUGCUACAAACCUGGAUCUGGUCUCGGCAGGGGUCCCAGCAUGACUCGGGAAAUCUUCUAGAAUUGCGAGAAAGCAGAUUACAUGCGACAAGCACACAAACAAAUGAAAGAUUACAGGCGGCGAACAUGUUUCCACGCUAAAGCCUUUUCAGCGCGCCGCACAAUGCUUCUCUUUCCUCCAGCUAAAUUUGGGUCCUGAUGAAGGACUCGCCGGCCGGCCACCUCUGUGGCGAGACCGUGAUCCACUGGCCGGUUGUCUCCGCUGGUAUUAGUGAAGGAGUUGAAGUGACUUGGGGCUUUAGUUUUGAAGGAGCGAGGGGGAGAAGAAAGAGUGUGUGUUGUUGAGAAGCUGUGUUUAUCCAGGAUUAGAGACACCAGCAUGUUAAUAAUUGUUUCUCACAGAACUGCAAAGAAGCACUUUCCUGUAAUCCCCUAAUCAGGCAUUACACCUCUGAGCGAAGCCACAACGCAGGCGCGGGUGACGCAGCGCCGCUUCUUUCACUCGCACGCCCACGUCGGCCCAAAUCUCCACGCCCACCGCAGCACCUGAUCGCUGCCGCUCCCACGCCUGGCCUGACAUCAGUGCCGCGUGACAUUAGCCGGUCAUAAUGUUAUGGUGGAGUUGUUGGCAGGAUUUGGGGAGAGGUUUUCUCAAGAGGUGACUUGUCAUUCACAGUUUACACAAGCAAAAACAGUAAGCACUAACAGGCACAUAUGACUGAAGUAAGAGAAAACACAACACAAUGUGAUACACACAACAAAAAUAUAUAUUCAGUAUUUGACACAACUCUGCGAACACAGCACUGAAUAGUUAAACUAAACAACACACAUCAUGACUGAUCACUAAACACCCUCUACACACAAAAAACUGAAGCGAUCGAAACACUUAACACAACAUGAACUCACCACUUAACAAUGACUCAGCAGAUAUUAGUUCACGCAAGCAUGAGCUACUCAAAACAAUUGAUCCUGGUGCAUAAGUUUAGAAGCAUUGUUAGCACCUCAGUUAGCAUAGUCCCCUCAUGGAUCGGUCUGAGACUCGGAGUAAAGCCUCCUGUUCCACUCAGACCUGCUCAGGCAGGUGGGGCUGCCACCCACUGGGCAUUAGUGGAACUACAUAUUCUGCGUUGUGUUGCUAUGGAGACACCAGAUGCUUGUUUAGCCGCCAUGCUUCCAAUUGCAGAUUGUUCUUUUGUGUUUUUUGUUGUUGAAGAUUUGUUUGCCCCCGACGAGAGUCUGCACCCCCCCACACCUCACAGCGCCUGGUUGGAGUGUGCGACGUGGAGAUUAACCUGAGGAAUUUAAUUAGUGGUCCCUGCCUGGACGUUUCAAUCCCAGCCGUGCCGGAGCUGAGCAGGCCCUCGGCUCUGAGGGGGGGUCUGGACACGUGUUUGACAAACAGAUUAUUGUGUUGGAGUGAGGCGACGGAGAGAUGCAGAUGGAGGCGACUGUUGAUCUGGAAACUUUGCCUUCUCUCUGAGCUUGUGUCGUUUGGGACUCAGGUUUCCUCCCGCGGUUUGAAAAUAUACUGGCUAAUAACCGACUUUAAGAUGGACUGGACUCAUGUCCAGCGUGUCCCCUGCCUCUUGCCCUGACUAGCCGAAACCUUGUUGAAGGAACAGACAGUUUCACGUCAUCUCAGUUGCGAAUCCAAACUAAAUCAUGAAUCGGGGUUUUGAAUGUGUUUUCUAUUCUCACAUCUGAGCGCUGUGGCUGCGAGGUGGUUGGGGGUCGUGUGUGAUAAUCGGGAUCCAAUCUGAAGCUUCGCUGUUACAUUGUAAUCCUGAUGCUAAACUCCCAUUAACCCAUCUGGGACCUGACAACAGACCCCCCCCGCUCGCCUCCACAUGCCCCACAAACACACUGUAUGCUGCAGCAUGGAGGGAGGAGGGGAGGAGGAGGGUUCAUGUCCAGCAAAUUAAAAAAUCUGCCGCAGGAAUGUGGCCAAGUCCCCUGAGGAGCCAGCAGCACCCGUCCGCUGACCCUGGUGGCCACUGGUGAGUCCUGUGUUUGUAUUCCGCGCACACCCCGCGCUCUGGGGAGCGCCGCGGCCGCCUCCUGUGGGACUGCUGAUAAUGUAAGUCAAACAUCAUGUCGGCGCUUGUUUGACACCCGUUUAAAGCUUUUCAAUCACACGUGUUUGCUACAGUUCAUCGCCUCGCCAGCGCCAGACCCCCGUCCACACACCCAAUCAAUGUUUUGUUUGACAGCGAUUCUCGAGUCAAAACAAGAGUCCGGCUCAUGAGUCCUAUUUGAUGAUGUCGUCUGUGAGGCUGUGCCUCACUACUGUGGCGUGUAAUAAACACAAAUAGAUUGUUAACAACUUGAAAACUGGCACUUGUGAAUGUUUACGCUAACAUAUGUUUUGCUAGCAGUCCCCGCUAGCAUGUUGAGCAUGUUGCUGUUAUAGAGCCGCAAGGUUAAAACUCCCUAAAAUCCUUCCUAUUCUCAUUUGUUUACACUUCAACUACGCUAAAAAGUCAACAUGAACUGAAUGCGAUGCAGGAUAAUGACAAACGAAACAAUGUCACAAUGCUAGCAAUUUAACACAAAUGUUCGUCUCAUAAUUAUGCUAAAACAAAAGUAAAAGAUAAGCGUUGAUACAGUUAAAAAAAAUUGAAUAAUAGAACACUUAAUAUAAUAGCAAACACGGUCAUGGACUCAAGAUGCAGCAGAUGUUGUUUAAACUGUGCGUUAAAAAGUCUAUCUAAAUAUGACACAGAUACAUGCUAAUGUGCUCCACACACACACACACACUUCCAACUGCUCUUUGUUCGGCGAUUUGUUGAUUCCAUUUUUAUGCAAAGCAAAACAAACGGCAUGUUUGUGAGUCGAAACUGGGCCAAACAAGCGCAACAAACAAAAGGGGGAGUCGUGGGUCAGCAGCCGAGUCCUGACAGGGAACCUCUGUCACUGUGAUGUCACAUUCUCAAGGGUAAACAACAACAACACACUGAAAAACAGGUGUCUCCAUCGAGCUCUGGUGUGACCAGGUGACUUGGUGGACCUGGUGAGAGUGGCAGACUUGAGUCUUUCCUGAACAGCCCAGAGUGGAGCCCUUCAAUUGACUUGAUGAUUCUGUUGAGACUGAACACUUGAACCUGGUCAGACCAGACGACAUGGCGGCAGUGAGUAGGAGACUUGAGCCUUCUACAGAGACCAGAGAACUUCUACCAAGAUGUGAAGUCACCAGAGGGCAUUGAGGAGAAGACUAGCCAGUUAACUGAUGGGCCUCCACUCGACUCCCUCUCCUCUCUGUGCUGCUUCAUUUUCUCGCUGACCCGAGGUCAAGAUCCUCUCCACUCUGCUGGCUCGACUUGAUCCGACCUCUUUGACCCGCCCCCACCCCCGAGUGUUGCUCUUCGCACGGCCGGUCCUAGCGGGUCCGAUGCUAAUCGUUACUCCUUAGAACUAAUCAAAGGUAUUGAUUCGGGAGUCGCAGGAAAGGAGCAGCGAUCCGGAUCAAAGUCGCCACAGCAGACUGAGGAGUCCUUAGCACGUCUGGGAGGUCAGAUGGGGACCAGGAUGCAGGUCAGGACUGACGCCUGCAGAGUUGUUUACUCGUCAUGUCUCCAAUAGCUGCUGCUUCGACUCCUGUCCAUGUCUCUAGUCGAGGUCAUUGGAGCAGACACGAUUCCAUCAAUCCAAAACAAAAGAGAAGACUUGAGACUUGGAGUGAGACGGGUGACUUUAACUGGACCAAGGUUCUUAACCGAGUCUCGAGUCUUUUAUUUGAGGAUGACCUUUCAGUGAGACUGUUUUUUUUAGGCUUGACUUGAAGAAGACUCUGUGACUGGAAUACUUGGGUUUCAGUGUAGAAAACUUCAGUUGGACUUGGGGACUUCAGUGCAACGUCACUCUCGACCCUCCAAAGAAGGGAAUGAACGCAUGUUGGCAGUGAAUAAUGAAGAGCCCUGGCAGCAGGACUUGACCCGGUAUCACCCGCGAGACCUCGUUUGGUCAUAAUAGAUGCAAUUGUUCCUAGGUGCCCCCCUCCCCUCCUCCCCUACACAUCAUAUUCUUUGUCUGGACCCUGGUCUGGCAUGACAUCUCAGGUUAUAGACACCAGAUGCCCCCUGACGCUCGGGCACGUGAGUGCUGGGCCACUGCUGCCAGCCCCAGUGGCAGCAUCCUAAAUACCCCUUUUGUUUUGGAGUGGGAACGAGUGGGUCGGGCGGCUGCUGUGGCACGAGCAACGCCGCCUGGUCCGUCACCCAAACAGGUGGAUUGAAGCGAAGGUUGUUGUGGAGGGGUUGGAGAGGGGGAGGGGCUGCAUCUGUCUCCCCCACAUGCAACGACUCCCCGGGUCAGCCUCGCCUCCAUAUGCUCGGAGAAGAAAGGGGAGGUGCGUGGCCGGACCCAGACUGACAGGUGGAGGGAGGGAGGGAGGGGGGAGCAGAUUAGGAGGUAGCAUUGAUCGGAUGGUGUAGGAAAUUAGCUGUAUGAGCCGACUGGAAGAAACCACUCCGGCUUUAAUUGGGUCUGGUUAGGUCUUUGACCCGUUUGUGGGAGCGGGGUUUUGUCCCGACCUAACAAGUGUAACGACUCCUGACCCGCCUGAGCAUCACGUUUCUAACCGCUCUGUUGUGUCGCUGCGCCGGACAGGAAGUGACACGCUUGCUUAUAUCAAAGUCUCACCUCAUUCCAGAUUAUCUGACGUGACGCCUCCAUAAUCUGGAUUAAAAUCACUAACCAGUUUUGUGGAAUAUCGUAGCUACGGUUGUGGCUAAAAUAUGAUGUUUGUUUUUUGUUCAGCCCUCAAGGUUUGAGUCUAGAUCCUGAUAACUUGGUCCUGACGCUGACGUUUCUUCAUCCUGGAGUUCACUGUUGACCUCUAAUCCAAACCUGUAUCUUCAUCCAAAAUUCAUAAUUUAAGAGUGUAUCUUCCUCCUCACGUUUGUUCUUGAUACUUGGGUGUGUGCCGUGUGGGUGUAGCAGAACCUGAUCUCCAUCCUUCCAUUUUCUGCCUCGUAGCAAAGGCAAGGUCGUGGGGGCAGCAACUGAAGUAAAAGGCUCAGACUUUUGUUCCACUUCAUCAGAGAGCAUGUCCCGGGUCAGCCCCGGGGCCUCCUCCCAGUUGAAGUCACCUCAACUGGCUCCUCUUACAGGUCAGUGGCGUCCAGACCAGCUCCCCAAAACUUAAUCCCAUAAUCUUAAUCCAGGAAUAUAUGUUUAGAGUGAUGAAUAGUGAACUUCAUCCUGAGAUUGUUUGGCUCCAGCUAGAUCCUCAAAUGUGUAUCUUGAGUCUUCGUCUAAAUCUACACACUUAAUCCUUAAAUAUAUAGUCUGAUGCUUGCAAUAAAAUCCAGGCCUUCAAUAUCCACGUCAAUGUUCCCUCAAAUGUGGACUCUAUUUUAAGGUGAAUCAUUUCACCAUUGGGUGGAGAAUUUGAAACUUGUCUUAACCAUCCUGGACCUCUUCACUUCUUCUGCUGCCCCCACGACUCAAUCUAGGAUAUGAGAGUGAAAAUGCAUAGUUGCACAUACGUGUUUGUGCAACGAUUAAAUCCCGCCACCUCUUAAAAUGUAUAAUCUAAGUCUAAGUAAUCUACUCAUUUCAAGAUGGAGACGGUAUUUGAGAAGCCUCUUCAUUCGCUAAAUCGAAUUUCUAUACGCACAGUUGGAGACAAACAUUGGACGAUUAAGUCUCAAGUCUUGUGAACUGAGUGUUGAUUUAAUAUUUCAGGGGAAAACUUUUAUAGUUUAUUUCAUCAAACAAAACUUAAAUAAUGAGCAAAUAAAAAAAGUCAAAAAAUAAUGCAGGAUAUGAUAGAUACUGAGGGGGCAACUAAAAUAAAAGUAGUAAUUGAACAAAAAAAAAUCUUCCAUUAAACAAAAUAUUUGAUCACAGAAUUGUUAAGAAUAAUAAAUAAAUAAAAUAUCAAAAGCUAUUUGAUAUUGUAACUAUAAUCAUGCAAAUUAAAUAUGAUCAAUUUGGACGUGCUUGUAUAACUUUAAUACAUAAGUACUUUAAAUAACAACCUUAGAAAAUCUAUCACUCAAAAUGUUGAGAAAAAAUUGUCUAAAAAACAGUCUUUGGUCUGGAUCAACACACUGAGUGCUAAUGUGGUCACAACAUAUGCUGAGACAUAAUCUUCUUAUUUUUAUAGCAGCGGCUCUUAAACUGGAGUCUGUCGCGGACAGUGGUCCUCGUCCGGGCCCCUCCCCCUCCUGCCGAAGUGGCUAAUGAAGUGACGAGCUCGGCGAAAGCUUCGGUCAACAUCCCGAUUGUUCCGGUGAGUUGGAGGACUUGAAGGAGGCCCGGGUCAGGGUCCGAACUGGACUUGAGGAAUGACCUCCCGACCCCACCUCUCUUGAUGUCUGUGGAUCUGGUUAAGUCGGCGGAAAAAUGAAACCUUGUUUUCCUGAUCUGGAUGUUAAAUCUGUUGAAGCAUCUAAAUCUGUUUUCAUGUCCGUCCAGAUGACACCUCCCCCUCGCUCCCAUGAGAUUAUCAAAGUCAUGAAACUUAAAUAAUGUGUUAAAAUGUCGACCAAGCCUGGAUUAGCUGGGAUUGGGGGGGGUUAAUGUUGCUGGAUUAGCUUUCAUUUAUUCAUUUGUGACGCUGCGCUGAAACCUUGUGGACCAGGACUCCAAACCCUGAAUCUCAACCUGCCCGUGUGCCCGCGAGAUUAUCGGCGUGCUGGUGGGCCGCUAACAUGGGCAUGUGCAAAGUCGCUAGCUAGUUAGCUGUAUCUGGAUUAUAGCGCACAAAAAAGAUUUAUAGGUGAAAUCCCAGACUAUUUUUCUAAUGUGAAGUGAGCAGGAUUUUUUUGUCUUAAUUCAGAACUUCUGGUCUUAAAUUUGAAGUAUAUAAAUACUUAAUUAUCAUACUAAAUAGAAGUAUACAAGUACAAAGUUUCUUUUUGGCAUUGGCGUUUGGAAUUUAAUACGCUGAAAUUGAGAGAAAUGUCAGCUAAAAACGUGACGUGACCAUCCCACCGCUGACACCUGUGCGAGUCCAACGUGACCCCGAGUCUGAACUCACUGACCUCUGCUCGUCGGCCAUUGUUGUCGUAGUUUAAUGUGAUAGCUCAUCAUCGCCUGCAGUUUUGUAACCAAGCUGGAUUUAUUUCGUUCCGAACGACUACACAGCGUUUUAAUGACUCACUCUCUCUCUCACACACACACACACACACACACACACAGACACACACCUCUCCUUCUCCUCGGCUGGAAUGUUUCAAGUGACGUCGCUAAUUAGUUUUCUUCUUCAGACGAGACGCCGUGAGAGAUUGUUAGUGAAGUCAAGGACGCUAAUGAACGUCAGACUUUUAACAAUUCCCCUGUGACCACUUCACACACACACACGCACACACACGCUCUCCUGCAGGCGUUCGCACACUUGUCUGCCUCUCACUGGUGCAACAUUGUUACCAUUGCAGGUUCAUCUCUCCCAGUUUGGGUUUCAUCAACCACAACUUUAAAAAAAUAUGUUUUUGGUGAUGAUGUCAAAAUUGCAGUCGUGGUAGUUGCAACUAUGGCUAUGACCGCUAUGUUCCAGGGUUUCGUUUAAGUUUGUGUUGAAACUUUUUUUGCCACAAAAGUGACCUCAGAAAAUGUAUCUUAUGAGAAAGGUUGUCUUCUUAUAACUUUGUUUUUUUUGUUCCAGGCAUGCUCAUUGGUGAGUCUGAAGUCUGGGCAUAAAUGUUGGGACUGUCAGGUCUGAGCAUGAAUUUAUUCUGAACAAGGGAGUAGCUACGUACGUCGUACGUUGAAACUUGUAACCAAGUCUCACACUGGAUCUAACAAGAACAAAUGCAAAUGUAACAAGUGUGUAUCUCACAACACUUUUGGCUAGCUGACACGACCGUUAGCUUGCGUUGUAGUCAGUUGUUGUACAUUGCGUAACUGGGUUGCUUUAAUUCUGUAAAAAAAAACCUAUUUGGUUUCACACUGUAUAGACAAGCUCAUAGCUGUCAGUUUCUAGGGCUUUUUUCCACUUUGGAAAUAACCAAACUGAUAUGACCCACACGCUAGUCAGAAAAAACGAAAACAAAAGCAUUGACAACGUCAGUGCUUGUUCCGCUCGUAUCGUACGAAUUUUCAGUCUUUGGUCAAGGUGAUGCUAAAGGUGAAAACUGCGAUAGCAUUGCAAGAAAACAUUGUUUUCGUAUUUCGUCAUGUUUUAUGCUCAUCUCAGCAGAACGCCAGCGCGGAACAACGUAAUGGACGUGGCUGGAAAGUAGCCGGUCAGAGGAAGGCAAGUUCACCAUUUCAAUUUGAAGACACUUAGCAUAGUGUGAAGCUAAUGUGCCUUCAACGCUUCUUUACUUCUGUUUCUCUGAGCUCAUUUGUCGGUAGCACCCUGACACAAACAAAUUGGGAGACAGUUGUCGACAAGCAAGUGUUUGUUCGUGUGUGGAUGCUAGAUUGAACUAAAGGGAAGGCAUCGUAACAACACAAGUAUAGUUUCAUAGGCAUAAGUUUUUGCUUCUUCACUUUGAUGUUAGCAUGUGUUGACGAUCGCUACGAUUGUAGCAAUGUCCGUUUUCCGUUAGCCGGUAUCUGGCAUUAGUGCUAGCUUGUCAGCUAGUCAGUUUUUGUCGUACAUUAAAUUGUUAGCUGUAAAUGAAAGUUGCUCCGAAUGAUAUACCGGCAUCAUUUUUCUGCAGUUCGGGAUCAGUGGGAGGUUUUGGUGAAUGCUUCACGACUUGCCUUUGUCUUAACUAUUCUGUCAACAUGAACGUCACUUCGGAACAUUGUUGGCCAAAUUCCUCAAUUCGUAAUCAGUGCGUACACAAGCUCUCCUGUUUCGUUGUUGUUAAGCGCUGUAUUUUACAAUUUUAUCGGAAACCUACGAUCUAUAUCAUCGUUGCCAACAAGGUAGUUUCGGUUAACACGACGGUACAAAAAUUGUGCAUAACUAUCAACACUUUGUUCGAACAGUUUUCAUUUCAUAUUUUUGUAUGAAAACAUGAAUGUUACUUCAAGCAAGAAUAUUGCCUUGACGUUACUCAAUAUUUGUCGGAAAGGUGAAGUUGAAAUCAUCAACUUCAAAAAACAAGUCAUUCAAUCGGUUUUGUUUUGUUUUUUUUUUGUUUUUUUUUAUCAGCGUUGCAGGUAUCUCACAAAUAGACAUUAUAGGAAUCUGUUCAGAUACUUUAUUAGAUUUUCCUCGAGUUGAACGUUGUUCAGAUCAAACGAGAAAGUCUGGAUUAGAUUAGAUUAUUUGUCCCGCAGUGGGGAAGUUCAACUAAAUGUGCAACGCUGGUCUUAUUUUACCUGCAUCAGAGUGAAUCGUGAGGUGUUUUUGGUGACUAUGGCCUCCUGGGCAUGAGUCUCUGGCAAAUCAAAGUUGUGGAUGAACUUUAUCGGAAUGUGUUUUCGCCGCUUCGACCUUCUUUCGAUUAAAAAAGUCUGUUGUCUCAAACGACUCAUUGGAAGCUUGUUGUGAAAAACGUGAAAGUCCUAAUGUCGAUCCGAGGCCGGCGGUUUUGACUCAUGCGUCAAGGGACAGAAUGAUUUGAACGGUGCGCCAAGAGUUUCCAAACAAACCUGAAGUCGUAAUGCUGAGCAAAGAGAAACUAGCAAGAUCACUGACAAAGCAAAGUUGUGAACGGAAUUUGUUUUAGCCCUUCAAACGUUCUUUAAGCAGAAGUUUGGUCUCACUCGUAGAGCGGAAAAGUCAAAGUCAAGUUUUCCCCUCCAUUUUUCAAUUUGUCGUAUGAUGGUUGUAAGUAAUUUAAAACUAAACGAACGAGUGAAAAUGUAGAUUUUUUUGUUGUUGUUGCUGCCUCGGGCCACGAGCGUCACACCGGCACCAGAAAAGCUCCACUUUGCGGACGUGUUUGAAGACUGUCAACAUGAAUAAAGGGACCUUUAUUUUAAAGUGUUACCCAAAAAGAAAACACACCAUCGAUAGACACACACUGAUUGUCUCUUAGAAACUACAUAUUGAUUCUUUAUAAACACUUUGUCUUAAAUAAAGUAGUGCAUCCGUCCUCCCUCGAGCGGAACCAGAGUCCGGGAGCUCGACAGGUGAGUCCACGCUACAAUAAAUUAAACCUCCUCUUUUUUUAUUGUUUCAAAAGGAGCAGAAAACUGAGGUCCGUGUCCGCGUCUGUCUCUUCACAGCACUUGGAAUUUCCACGAGGAAGUUUGAUCCUUAUAAUCCAAACAAUCCGCGUUAAAGUUGAGCUUCCAGGAGGCCGCCUGCUCCUUGUAAUCCAAGCAGUCCGCCGCCGAGUUGAAGCCCAGGCCGGCGGUGCCGUAGCCCUGCGUGGAGAGCGACGCCGGGUUCUGGUUCAGGUGGCCCGUCACCGCGUUCGUGCUCAUCGGACUCAGCGUCGAGCCGGGCCCGGACAGCUGGUGGUGCAUGGGGGUCAGGUAGGAGCCGCAGUCCAUGCCGCUGAAGUAGGAGGUGGAGCCCGCGUAGCUCUGGCUGUAGCCGGAGGCCUGCGUGUAGGUCAUCGGGUAGGAGCGCUGCAUGCAGGACGAGGAGGUGGACAGCGGGUCCGACAGCGGGGAGAUGGAGGCCGGACUCCAG